rnacentral:lncRNA from 1 species
ACUUUCUUUUGUUUCAGGGCUUUUACCAUCUCUGAAAUGUCAGGAUGGAGAGAAAUUCUUGCUGUUCAUUUCUAACAAUUUAAACAGGUGAGUAGGAGCAACUGAUUAACUGUCUUUGAUAUCUGCUUUUUCAUAUGGUGAGUAGAAAAUGAAAUGGAAUGGCCUCUCAGCCUUCUUGAAUGCUCAAAUCAAACAAAGAAUUUUAGUUGAUGCAUGUGGCUCAAUGGAGUUCUUAUAUUCUCAAGGUACUUUCAGCUUAAGUGAAUGCUUCUUGUUAAUGCUUCUUAUCUGGUGUUAGUCUCUGGUUUAUCUAUAUUUUGUCCUGUGAUGAUAGCUGUUUGUCAAGAUGAUGCAGAUCCUACUAUUUCUCAUGUACAUGCAUUUGCUCAAGAAAAUUCUGUUUAUAUUGUUCUAAACUAAUUUUCCUCCAAUGGGAAAUUGCUGAUGCAGUAAGUAGAUCAUUGUUUGACAUAUUCUCUGUUUUAUUCCGGUUAAUGACAUAUUGACAUUGCCAGUUAAACUUAUUCAAAAUAAAGGAAGAGACUUCCAACUACAGCACAGAUUUGUGUGCAGCUUAGUACUCGAGUGGUGCUUGGGAGGAAGUUAAUCCAUUUCGGAUUGCCUUUUACAUUUCUUAACGAUUGUGUUACCAAUAUAACAGUUACUCAUGCAGUGCACUUAUAUAGCUGUCUUAUAUAAUAUAGUUGUCUUAUACAGCUGCCUUACAUAAUAUUUACUCAUUCUGUCUGCAUUCUGUGCACUUUCUUAUUUUCCAGUGUACAAUAAACCUCCUUUAUGAAAAUUUUAAACAGUUACCUUGUUAACGAUGUGGUUAGGGUACCUUGAACCUCCUUUAUGAAAAAUUUCUUAUUUUCCAGUGAACAUUGAACCUUCCUUUUUUUUUUUUUUUGUUCUAACAAAAGUAUUCUUGUGGUGACUGAUUGCAGGUCAUAGUUUCAAAAUCAUGUAAAACCUAUUGAUUCUGUACAGGUUGAUUUUUGAAUUCAGGUUUGGUUUAACCCAGCUUACCAGAUCUUUGCGACAUAAUGAACAGCUCAAGCGCUUCAAUGCAAACAUAUAUUAGUGGCGGAAAAGCCCAUGUAAUUCAUGGCUUCUGUAUUAUUCCAAGAUCUGCGAUUAAAAUUUAUUGCAUUUUUGGUCAAAUUUAAUCCGAGAAAAUUCCAUGACUGUGAGUAGUCUAUCCUUGGCUUCAUAUGAUCUUCCAGUGAUCGCUGUGCCCUCCACCCUCUCAAAUGGGUGGCACAAUAUCCUGCUUGGAAUAAGUAACUCUUGGAUCAGCUGCCUUUUCCAUGUCAAUAUCCAGCUUCUCCUUCAUUCCAAAGGGUAUUUUCCAAUCGAAACAAUGCAAGAGAUUAGCAAGAGCAAGCUCCACUAUUCUUGUUGCUAAAUUCACCCCAGGACAGCUUCUUCGACCGCCACCAAACCCCCGGACAGUUUCUUGUUCUUUAUUCUACUAACCCAUCCUUUGUGGUCCAUGACGAACUUGUACACCUCCUUUUAAAGUCCUCAAUUCCAACGACAGACAGAUAAAGUGCUCAAAAAAGAUAUAACUGCUUUCUCUCCCUGGCCCCUUCAACACCUUAAGUUUGAAAAAAACGCAAUGUCCCCCCAACUCUCCUAAAAUUUUUGUUCAAAAAUUAGGGCUCAUUGAGUGGAAAAAUCCAAAAGAUUCCAGACUUGUUCGAAAGUUUAUCCCCAAAAGACUAGAAUUUUAAUAAUAUAAAACUUACCAGAUAACCAGCUGCUCCAGACUAGAAGAAAGAAGUUGCCCAUCAUCAGUUUAUUAAUGAGGCAAUGCACUAACAAAUUAAAGUUUCCUAUGAAUUGUCACCCAGCCUUAUUGUAAUAUUCAUGCAUAUUCAGAGAAAACUAAAGACAUCAUCAAAUCAAACUAACAUCAAUAAAUAGCAAUACAAAGUGAUUCCUCUAUAAGAUGAAAUUUUAUCACAUUUUUAAACAUUAAUUAGCUGCCAAUCUAAACCGCAUUUCCUGGAAGAGAAUUUAAAACGAUAUGAGAUAUGCCCAUAAAUCACUAUUAUGAAAAAUAAUUAAAUUAUCGAUAUUGAAAUAGAGUAAAAACAAAGAACAAAGAAAUCGGGCAUAUGACAUAUUGACAUGAGCGAAAAACAAAAUGCCAAAAUAACUUUGUUGAAAUAUCUAUGAUUAUGGAUUUGUUUAUAUUAAUCUAAAUUUUUAAUUUUUUUAAUUUUUGGAUUAAAAUUAAAUUCAUAAUUCAUUUAAAUUAAAAUAAUAUUUUAAAUUUGGUAAUUUUUAUCUAAAGAUUCAAAAAAGUAUAAAAAUUAUAGUAAUGUAAAUAGAUUUUUCCUCAAUACAUAUAUAUAUAUAUAUAUUAGUGCCAAAUUUUGUGCAUUGCUGCGAGUAUUUUUUCAAAUUAUUUUAACAUUAAAAUGUAAGAAAAUAGAUUAAAGUACAACAAUAAAUCAUAAUUUUUAAAUUGAUAACAUAAAAAAUUAUAUUCAAAUAAGUAUUGUAAUAAGAAAAAAGUUUGGCUUAUUAUAGACUUAUAGUUUAUCUUAUUUUUUGUUAAAGAUUUUUCAAGGAAUAAUUUGAAGGUCAUGUAACUUAUGUUAUUGAAUCAGGUAAGUUAUCAUCAGUAUAAUUUGAUUCAUGUAUAUUUAUACCAUUUAAUAAAUAUGUUGAAUUUAAAUUACAUUAAACAAUAAGUACAUUUAUCUAUAAUUAAUUGAAUUCAUUAAUAUCAUAAAUUUAUGAAUGAUUAAAUUCAUAAAUAGUUAGAUUAAUUGAAUUCAUUAAUAUCACAAAUUCAUGAAUGAUUAAACUCAUAAAUAGUUAGAUUCGUUCAUUUUUUAUUUCAUUCAUAAUUACAUUUAUCUAUAAUUAAUUGAGUUUACAAAUAUCUAAGUUCAUAAAUAGCCAAAAUAUAUAUUAAUGUUAAAUUAGAUGUUAUUAAGUAAAUCUUGAUGACAUGUAAAGCAAAGAAGCUGACAUGACAAUUAAAAGGAUCCAAACAUGACAAAAAUAAAGCGGAUAUGAUAGAGUCUAUUUGUGUCAAACAUAAAUAACAUGGGAUAAAAUAUAUAUAUAUAUAUAUAUAUGUAUGUAUUCUAGCAGAAAUAAUUAUUCCAAAUUAUUAUCAUAUAUGGUUGAUAUAAUUGCAUCUCACGCGUAUGCAAUAUUACAUUAUACAAGCAGUACUUAAAACACUUUUAACAUAUACAAUAUUACAUUAUUAUACAUGUAAUAUUGUAUAUGUAAUAUACAAUAUUAUCUACUCCGAUGCCUGAUCAUGAAGGCAUUUGAUUGGCACAAGAAGAAGAGGUGUCUUUUUCAAGAGGGUAAGGCAAUGUCCAGCCAACUCUUCCAUGUUAAGAUCUGCCUCCUUCAUCCCACCAGGCAAUUUCCAAUCAAAGCAAUACAACAGAUUUGCGAGUAAAAGCUCUGAUGUAACUGUUCCCAUGUACAGCCCUGGGCAGCCUCUUCUGCCACCUCCAAAUGGCAAGAACUCAAAAUGUUGCCCUUUAAAAUCAACGCUGCUAUCAAUAAACCUUUCUGGGGAGAAUUCUUCUGGGUUAUUCCAGUACUUUGGAUCCCGCGCAAUGGCCCAAGCAUUGAUUUGGAUAACUGUUUUAGGAUAAAUGUUGUAACCAUUGAUUUUGAAUUGUGACAUGGCUUCUCUGGCAAUCAGCAGUGGUGCAGGAGGGUGCAAUCUCAGAGUUUCUUUUAUAACCAUCUUGAGGUAUUGAAGCUGAUCGAGAUCGCUUUCUGUUACUCUUCCUUUCUUUCCCACAAUGCUUCGAACUUCAUCUUGUGCUUUCUUCAUCAGUCUUGGUUUUCUACAUAGCUCUGCCAUUGCCCAGUUCACAGUAAGUGCGCUAGUGUCCACUCCGCCUAAAAACAUGUUCUGCAAAGUAGGCAUCAGUCAGAGCCAAGCGGAACAAAGCCUAACAAUAAAAUUGGCACCGGAAAAUAAAAAAGUUUCAAUCAAUUUGUUACGAAAUUAAUUAUAAGAAAUAGUGAAUAUUUCGACUUCUCUAUUUUUGGGUGAUGAUGAAUGCUAUCAAAUUGUGUAUAGAUCUAAACUGAAAUUUAAUGCAGUUGAUUUUUUGAGUCACUUUAGAUAUGAUAUCCAACAAUUUUAGAAUUAGAAUCCCACCAAUUGUAAUUUCUUCUCUAUCCUAGACUAUGACUUCUUUUCUUAAAAAAAAUUGUGUAUAGAUCUACCUAGAUCUCAACUUCAAAACUAACCAAUACUAAUAGUUUUAAAGAUUUGUAACUAAAUUAUCGUUUUUAAAUGAAUGAAUUAGCUUGGAUUUUAAAAGUCAUUGACAAAAGAUGUUCAAUUUAAUUUGGUUUAGAUAUUGUUUAAAAUUACACAUAUAAUGUAUCAAAUGAUAUGUCUAAGUAACGUUGCAUAGAUCCCAAAUGGUGUUAUUUGACAAUACUUACCAAGAGAACUGCCUUGAUAUGAUUUUUGGUGAGCCAAGCAUGACCAUCUUCAAUUUGCUCCUUUUCUAUUCCAAGCAUCACGUCAAUAAUGUCAUCCUGCGAUUUUAUCCUCCCAGGUUUAAGGUGAUCAUCAAUUACCUGUUGAAAGAACGUAUCCAACUCAUGGAAAAUUCUCUCAACUCUUUUAUUAUGACCAUUUAUCCUGUCCAAAAUCCAACCAACGUUAGGAAGAUAUUCAUCUGCAGAGAACACUCCGGCCACUGUCUCAGCAUCGUGCACCAAUUCGUAGAACUUACUACGAUCAAAGUCACUUCCCCGGAAACACUUGCCAAAAGCUGUUCUAAAUAUUAUGCUUCCGGUUAGAGAAAAAAUCUUCUCUGUAACGUUUACGGGACUUGCAGAGGAUGACGAUCUAGAGAUCAAAUCCAUCAGGGAAGCAACUUCGUCUUCUCUGAUAAACCGGAAAGACUUCACCCUUUUCACGCUAAAAAGCUCGAGAACACAUAUUUUCCUCAUUUCUCUCCAAUACUCACCAUAUGGUGAAAAUGCCAGGUCUAAAUAAUUGUAUGAAAGCCUCCCAGCACCAGCUAUCCGAGGCCUGCUGCAACAAGCAAGAUCAUUAACUUUCAAGACUUCUCUUGCUGGUUCAGCUGAUGAAACAAUAACGACCGGUAUGCGACCAAGCUGAAGGUGCAAGACUGGACCAUAUUUCCGAGAAAGUUGGCAGAGAGAGCUAUGUGGCAGUGCACCAAGUUGGUGCAAGUUGCCUAAAAUUGGAAGCUUGGGGGGACUCGGUGGAAGCCGGUUGAGUUCUUUCUUAACUUGAGUCCUCUUUCUGAAGAGUAGCAACAG